UUGGCUGAGCAGGAAUCCUUUUGAUUGGUUGGAACCAUUUUGUCCCCGCCCCCUUUCUUGGGAGUCGAGGCUUAACGUUGGCUGAAGUGGAAGUCAUUCAUAAUCUACGGAAGACAGUCGUCAUAGUGAACCGUUGACGUCGCAGAUCCAGCGGCCAGCUGUUCUAAUCGCGUCACUCUCUUUGCCAGCUGAUCGCAGACGCCGGUAAACGUGAGACGGCGAGAACGGAGGAACCACUUCACGGGUGAGGAUUGUUGUGGAUGCUGAUGAGUGAAUAUUGGCUGACCUACCGCAGUUCUUCUCUGGCAAACUUUAUGACCCUGUCCUGACGCUAAAGCUGCCAGCUGAAGAACUGUUGUGGUCAGCUCUACCCAGCAUGCACCAUUUUCAUCUGAGAGUGCUGUGGAUCUGAUUCAUUCUGGAUCGUCUCUGUCUUGGAACUUUGAUAUUUUAAAAUGAACUUUUUUAUUAUUAUUGAAGUAGAAAGCAUCUUAAAUAGAGAAAAUAUUUAUUGGAAAAAUGUAAAAUGUUUUUUGUCAUGUUUUUUUUUUUUUUAAUUAACCAUAUUAAUAUUUAACCAUAUUAUCAUAAAAUAUGUAUUUAAAUCCAUGGUAUUUUUUUAAUUGUAAUAUCAGAAUUAAUAUCAAAUUAACUUCUAGAUGAGUGUUUUAUGUAUGUAGAAUGCAUUAUGCAUGGCAGAAGUCACUGAAAUUAAUUUUCUGUACAUUUUAGCCUCUGCAACAGCUGCUGCCCAGGCAUGAAACUGAAACUAUUUAGUAAAUAACUAAACAAAAAUCACAAUUUCAUACAAGAGUCAUGUAUAAAAUUUUGUUUGUUUGUUAAAAUAUGACCGAUAGAGGGCGUCAAUGGUCAGUUGGACAGUAAAGCUAGCUGAGGUGGGUCUACUGCCUAUCUAUCAAGCAGAUACAUUUACUUUUCCACUCUUGAACAUUUUCCGUGAAAAAAGCAUACAAGUGAAGAUAACUCUGUCUCACUAAUGCAAUUCAUAGACUAUUUUAAUCAUUUUGGUAAGAGAAUGGAUGAAAGUUAAUUAAAUGAAUUAUUUUUACAUUGAUAUGACACAACACCCAGCAAAUGCACAAUGGUCCAAUAAGGUUACUCCAAAUGUGGCUAAUUUUAGAGGAACCAAAUGCAUUAUAGUUUUGGGUAGUAACAAUGUUAAUUAAAUGUAAUCUGGAUUAUGUAGUCAGGUUUCAGAAUUCUGUAAUUGUAAUUCAAUUACAUUUCAUUUGAAAAUAGAGGAGAGCCUGUGGGGAAGUUAAGCCACCCCUUGUUUCUAGACAACCUUAAACAAAGUUGGUGAUAUUAGCACACAUUUGAAUAUUUAACCAUCUGUGAUGGAGAGAGGCCAUGCCUCUGAUCUGAACAUUUCAUGUUCUUACUUUUUUAAAAUGAAGUUAGAUACAAUGUACCCCUUCUUAUGAUUAUAAUGUAUUAUUUAACUGUAAUUCUACAUUGUAUUUCAUUAAUUUUACACCAAACAUGAUUCUGAUUUAGUUUUUUGUUUUUAAUGUGAUUUUGUUUCUGUUAAUUUUAAAUUGGCCUUGUUUAUGAAAAUUGCCCAUUAAAGUUUUUAGGAAAUUCCCA